rnacentral:rRNA from 1 species
AUUGAACGCUGGCGGCACGCUUAACACAUGCAAGUCGAGCGGUAACAUGACUAGUAGCAAUACUAGUUGAUGACGAGCGGCGGACGGGUGAGUAACACGUAGGAGCUUGCCCAGUAGUGGGGGACAACCAAGGGAAACUUUGGCUAAUACCGCAUAUUCUCGAGAGAGGAAAGCUGCCGCAAGGUGGCGCCAUUGGAGAGGCCUGCGUCCGAUUAGCUAGUUGGUAGGGUAAAAGCCUACCAAGGCGAGGAUCGGUAACUGGUCUGAGAGGACGACCAGUCACACUGGGACUGAGACACGGCCCAGACUCCUACGGGAGGCAGCAGUGGGGAAUCUUGGACAAUGGGGGCAACCCUGAUCCAGCGAUGCCGCGUGAGUGAAGAAGGCCUUCGGGUCGUAAAGCUCUUUAGGCUGGGAAGAAGGUUGGUAGUUUAAGAGAUAAUCAAUUUGACUGUACCAGCAGAAUAAGCACCGGCAAACUCUGUGCCAGCCGCCGCCGUAA